GCUCGUCUCAAAGCCACGCAUGUAUAAGUACAUGCCGCAUUAAGGCCAAACCGCGAAUGGCUCAUUAAAUCGGUUAUGGUUCCUUGGAUCGUACAUUAUUAUUUGGAUAACACUGGCAGUUCUAGAGCUAAUAGAUACAUGCAGCAAAGCUGGGGAUGAGCGCUUUAUUAGACCGAAAGCAAUCGGACCUAGUGCUCGUAUUAUAGUGUGACUCUGUACAACUUUGGGCUGAUCGGGCGGGCUAUGCUCAGAAACGUAUCUUUCAAGUGUCUGCCUUAUGCUUUAAUUGUUGAUGCUAUAAUUGGUACGCGCGUAACAUAGUCGUAAAAUGGAUGAUGGGAUAUCAUUGUUCGACUCCAAAGAUGAAGCCUGAGAAACGGCUAUCACAUUCAACGAAGGCAGCAGGCGAGGAAAUAACCCACUCACAGAAGGGGGAUAUAGUGACGAAAAAUAAUACCGGACUCUUUUCAGACCUUCGUAACUGGAAUGAGUACACUCUUUAUUCUUUAACGAGAAUCAGUUGGACGAAAAGUCUGGUGCCAUGCAAUACUUAUCAACAAGACCGGGACAAACGGC
rnacentral:ncRNA from 1 species